rnacentral:tRNA from 1 species
GCCGGAGUAGCACAGCGGUAGUGCAACGCAUUCGUAACGCGUAGGUCGGAAGUUCAAAUCUUCUCUUCGGCACCA